rnacentral:snoRNA from 1 species
AUGACAUUUCAAACCCAGCUUGUGAGGCUGUGAAACCAAGAGCGUUUAGCAAAGUGACCAAAAAUAAAAAUCUCUACCAUGAUCUAUAGUCAUUUUAAUGGGAUUCUGUUUUCCUGAUCUAAGAGUCAACCA